CCCAUGUCAAGUUUACCUAUUACAAGCUUUUUGUGGCUGAGGUGACAGCUUGGUAACAUUCCAGAAUCACACCCAAGCUUACCCAUGUCAAGUUUACCUGUUUCAAGCUUUUUGUGGCUGAGGUGACAGCUUGGUAACAUUCCAGAAUCACACCCAAGCUUACCCAUGUCAAGUUUACCUGUGUCAAGCUUUUUGUGGCUGAGGUGACAGCUUGGUAACAUUCCAGAAUCACACCCAAGCUUACCCAUGUCAAGUUUACCUGUUUCAAGCUUUUUGUGGCUGAGGUGACAGCUUGGCAUCAUUUCAGGUUUAAUCUUAGGGAGCACCACUCCAAACCAACAUUCGUAGUAAAUUAGCACGUGAGAGAAUUUUAAUGAUAAUGCAUUUUCGUAUACGUUUUACCUUGGGGAGGGGCCAGGGGGGCAAGCCUCAUUAAUUAUAAAGUUGGGUGGCUUGGAUUUUCUAAGUCCAUUGUUAUUGUUUCACGAGCGCCUCUAUGCACAGACUGAGCCUCGUACCUGCCUUGCAGUGCACCAAACAAACUAUAUAGCUCCCAAGUCAGUACACGCACGGAUCAUUACAAUUUUGGACAUAAAACAGUCUCUAUGAUUUCUAUGUUAUUUUCUUGGCUAUAUUAAAGCACAUAAUGGCACAAGUAUUUGUAUUUUAUAAUUUUAAAAGAUUAUAUUCAGGAUGUAUAGCUCUGUGGGUUGAAUUGCGCAGGCAGCACCACGUAGGCAUGUUUGCAGUCAAUUUUCAUCAUGAUGGAUGGACCAGAGUCUCACUCUCUCACUCAAAAUAUCAUUGUACUUCACCUCUCGGUAAGUGUUGACUGACUAUUCAACCUCUUUAUUGGUAUGCAUGUAGUUAGACAAAAGGACCGAUUACUAUCCAAAAUUGAAUGGAAUAGUGACCCGGCGUGUGACAUGUGUGCGUUUUGUGAAUAGCGGUCGCAUGAAGCUUGUCACGUGUCACAAACCAACUGGAUAUUGUUGGACGCGCGUACUCAUAGUUUCAGUAAAGUGGAGGCCAGGGUGAUGCGUAGCAAUCGUUAGGUCACUAACGGCUCAUAUAUGACAGCUGUCACAAAUCUGUUGCAUUUUGUACCCCAAACUACUCGCUAACAAUGAUCCACCAUCAACUUACAAGAAGUGGAUGGGUUAACUGUCAGUA